GUCCACCAGCUGAUCUUCCCUCCCUCCUCCUACCAGCAGAACACACAGGGGGGGGGUUCACUCCAUCGUCCGCACAGGCUGGCUACUUUCACUUUCUAUUCCACGUCCUGGCUGCUUGUGAUUUAUGACAUGACAUGAAGCUGUUCUCCGUUCUCCCUGCGCUCCAGCCCUCCCCCUCUACAACAUGCUGAUGCAGGGGCUUGAGUGUGAUCAGAGCAGGCCGAGUUUAACUCUUUGUAACCUGUUUUCUAAUGUAUUGAAGAAUGCUGCUGCUGCUGUACCAGGGUACAUGACUUAAACAACGGAAGAACUUUCCAUUUAACUAAUGCUUCCAUGAAAGACAAAUAAACAAUUAUGUUUAUCCUUCAAGUGCUCUGUGCUACUGUAGCCUACCUCUUGGUCAUUGUUCCUGAUCAGGAGCCUGGGGUAGCCGUCUGUUUCCUGCGCUGGGCUUGCUGCUACAACAGCUGCAGACCACCGAGCCCCAUGCCACUUCCAUUACAUGUACGGGCAUAUGGAAAGAACAGCAUCAGCACCUCGGAGAUGGCCGCCGCAACAAUAUAAACAAACAGCGCGGAAGGAGGAAAUACGUCACCGGAAGUGAUGUCAGCUGGAACGCAAAGGAUAGCGGAAGUGCCGUGAUGUGGAAUACAAACGGAGCCGCGACUUCCGGUGACCACGAGCGGGAAGUUAAAAAUCAACGACAGCUGAAGGGACAUAUCUGUUUGAAAAAACGGACUGGAUGAAUCACUUCCUAGCAUGCGCUGUAUAGGAUUUUUAGUUGGUUAGGAAUUCCAUGUCUGGCAUUAGGUUAUGGAUACUAAUCCCUCCCCCAAUUGUUAGGGGUAUAAAUAUCUGUAUUGGCAACUGACCUCCUUAUACCUUGAAUAAGAUACCCUGGGUGGUAUCGAAACGCGUUGGUCAGGAGGAAAGGAGAAUAUCUAUUGGACUCUCUGCUGUGUGGAACAUCUGUCCAGGGACGCCUGUGAUAUACACUUAUGCGAUUUUAGUCUACCUGUGUGUAGACCAUCAUCUCUGGUGAGAGUCCACCUUAUAUUCUCCCUGUGGUUUUUUUAUCAAAUUGUUUUUAGAAUUUUAUGGGAAUAAAAAGCUGUAUUACACUA